ACGUUAUGUGACAACAGAGCGACUAUGAAUAAUUACCACCUGAGUAUUUCGAAAUGUUGCUAUAACCAGCGUAAGGCAAGCGAGUGGCCCAGAUCCAGUUGGGCUUGAAUCCAAAGUUCAAUAUGGCACUGAUUGGAGUGGCUGAGAGGUGUGAAGAAGAUAUACAGAUACAAAAAGGAGGAAGAGGAAAAGUACUGUGUAAAAGAUGAAGAGUGGGCAAGCUGUGCAGCUUCAUUUUGAAGGACACUCACUGGCCACUGCAGACAGCCU